GGGAGGACCGAGGAAGACCCGCGGGCUCCGGAGCCCAGCUCGAGAGUGUUUGGUGUCUGCCCCCGGCAAGCCCUCGGAAGACUAAAGCCCUCCCCUCGCUCGCUUCCUUCUACCCGACUAAUGCAAGCACAGGCCCGCUAGCAGGCAACCCUUCUCUCCGCCUCGUGCUGAGCGAUUUGCAAACAGCUCGCUACAGUUUGCCGAGGUGCCUGCCGCUGUUACCCGCGGUGUACAGUUGGCGGACGAGUCAAGUGACUCGUCCAACCUCGCGCAGCUAUGCUCUACACCUGUGACCCUUCACCUCUGCAAAGGAGCAGGGGGUGGUUUCUUCUUCUUCUCUUCUUUGGGGCCAAGCUUGUUCUUAUGCAACCUUCAGUUGGAUUCUCUAAGUCUACCAUGACAUCUACAGUGGUCUUGGACAAAUUCCUUAAAUCUCUCUGGGCCUCAGUUUCCCCAUCUGGAAGAUGAAUGAAUUAAACUAGGUGACCUCCAAGGACCUUUCCACCAUUAUGUCUAUGCUCCUGUGAUGCUAUGACCUGAGUGACCAGAGUAUCUCAGCAUUCUGAAUGCUUCAGGAUUAUUCCAUGUUCUCUGGUGAGGCCAUUAUCUGCUUCCUUGCUAUUCUCAACUGGAAAGCUGAGCAUUAUGACUGAUCUGUGACUUACUAUCUCUGCUGGCCUCUGCUACCAUCUGCUAAAGUUUCUUUUUCUUUUUUUUUGGCUAGGCAGUGGGGUUAAGUGACUUGCCCAGGGUCACACAG